rnacentral:misc_RNA from 1 species
GAUGAAGAACGCAGCGAAACGCGAUAAGUAAUGUGAAUUGCAGAAUCCAGUGAAUCAUCGAAUCUUUGAACGCACAUUGCGCCCGCCAGCAUUCUGGCGGGCAUGCCUGUUCGAGCGUCAUUACAACCCUCGACUUCCCUAGGGAAGUCGGCGUUGGGGACCGGCAGCACACCGCCGGCCCUGAAAUGGAGUGGCGGCCCGUCCGCGGCGACCUCUGCGUAGUAAACCAACUCGCACCGGAACCCCGACGUGGCCACGCCGUAAAACACCCAACUUCUAAACGUUGACCUCGAAUCAGGUAGGACUACCCGCUGAACUUAAGCAUAUCAAUAAGCGGAGGA